rnacentral:rRNA from 1 species
CCUACGGGAGGCUGCAGUGAGGAAUAUUGGUCAAUGGACGAGAGUCUGAACCAGCCAAGUAGCGUGAAGGAUGACUUCCCUAUGGGUUGUAAACUUCUUUUAUAUGGGAAUAAAAUGUUCCACGUGUGGGAUUUUGUAUGUAUCAUAUGAAUAAGGAUCGGCUAACUCCGUGCCAGCAGCCGCGGUAAUACGGAGGGUCCGAGCGUUAUCCGGAUUUAUUGGGUUUAAAGGGAGCGUAGUGUGAUUGUGAAGUCAGUUGUGAAAGUUUGCGGCUCAACCGUAAAAUUGCAGUUGAAACUGGCAGUCUAGAGUACAGUAGAGGUGGGCGGAAUUCGUGGUGUAGCGGUGAAAUGCUUAGAUAUCACGAAGAACGCCGAUUGCGAAGGCAGCUUACUGGACUGCAACUGACACUGAGGCUCGAAAGUGUGGGUAUCAAACAGGAUUAGAUACCCUUGUAGUC